rnacentral:ncRNA from 1 species
UACCGAAUUGGAUUUGGUUUAUAAAUAUAUGUGCAUGCUUGACUAGUUAUGUUGGUUCCAUUGAAUAUCAAACGAAGAUCCUUGGCAUAUUGAUUAUGGUAGUAAGAUGUCAGUGUGAACCUUCACUUGCAGUCUUGGUGUUUUGAAAAACUAAAAUUAUACACACUAGCAUCCUAGACCCAAAAUCGACCGGGAACCCAAAAAUUAAAAUAUGACCAUCGCCCCGGCGAUGCAUCAUUCAAAUUUCUGCCCUAUCAACUUUCGAUGGUAGGAUAGUGGCCUACUAGUCACCUACGAUGGUGGUGACGGGUGAUGGAGAAUUAGGGUUUGAUUCCUGAGAGGGAGCCUGAGAAACGGCUACCAUAUCCAAGGAGGGCA